GUGUAUUUGAGGAAUCAUUUUCAGGUUCAGGUAAAACAGUAUCUGCAUAAUGUCACUGAUCUUGAGUUUUUAGUGUUGAAGGUUCAGGCUCCAUUCCCUGCGCUCAUUGCUGUUGUGUACAGACCUCCUGACUACAGUUUGACACCGUUCACGCAAAACCUGCCACAGCAAAGUCUCCAUUCAGGUGUCCUGAGAACAUAUUACAGUUACCACAACCCCGUAUUCUGUGUCCUGUCCUCAAGCCAAUCAUGAAGUCGUCUGCAUAUUCAUGAACUCCUGAUCCCAACCUCAUCCAUCACUGCUGGACAACACAGAGACUACAUGCCAAAUAGAGACUGCUGGCUUUAUAACCUGCCAUAUCAGUGUAUCUUCAGUGGAGAAGAUGACACACCCAUCACUCUACCUGCUAAUUCAUCUGCAGACCAUCACCAUUUUGCCACACUCCACACCUCUGAAACCAUCACUGAUGAGUUAUGCUGAAAAAUCUGUACUUCCUGCCACGCUACAGUGAUCCUGAGACCAGAGAGAGCUAUUGUUGUCUUGGGAAUUCUUCCGUUUCACAACUGACACAUUAAAACCUCAUCACAGAGCUCUUGUCUAUUGUCACCAUCAUGUGACUGUCAGAUUGCUCUGGACUCUGGUUAUGUGACCUGCAACAAAUAUGAGUGACCAUCUUUUGUGACUUCAUUGCUACUGAUCAACCACCUUGGUCCAGGAAAAUAAGAGGGCUGCAGCCAAUCUUUGAAUCAGUUUGUAUCACCAGAAUUAACAAACAAUAUCAGAUAUAUGAAAAUGAGCUUUCAACAAAUGUGGAUUAUUUAGUAUUGUGUCUUGACUGUGUUGCAAUAACACAAGAAUCUAUUUACCCAAAGUAUAUAACUUGUUUGGGGAAAUAGUAGAUUCACAUUUUUCUUAACUCUGUAACAAUAGCAGGCUGGAUUCAUACAAACACACAGCUUUCAAUCUUCAAUUGUAGAAUACACAAUAUUAAUGAUGUAAUUAUUUUUGAGAAUAAAAAAAAAACCAAACACUGCAUUAAUCCAUUCUCUUAAUGUUUCUAAUCUGAAAUGUGGAAAAAAAUGCAUAUUUAACAUGAUAAAUCAUUACAUCUCAAACAGUGUUUGUCUGAAUCCUCCCUUCAUAUGGGGUGUCAGUUAGUAUAUGAGUACAGCACUUGUGUAACACUGCUUUCUCCACAUUCUUUGUUAUAGUAUUCUAAUAUGUAGGUAGUUGCGCACACAUACUGCAGGAUCUUCAUGCUAAAGUCUGUUUCAAAAUGAACCCCUGCUUCUCAGACCAUGAUUAACAAUCCCUUGUAGCUGUUAAAAAGUGCAUAAAGUUUAUAUCUACUGAUAUGUAUUACUGUUUAUCAUUUCUUUUGAGGAAACACAGCUGACUUCAGUUUACAUCACAGUGCAACCAUAACUUUCAUGUAUAUGACUUUACAGUUACUUUAUGACAGAUUCCCAGCUAUGGUACACUGGUAGCAGCAAUAUGUCAAAAUCCUUUAGAAGUUAAAACAAGGAAUCAUUCACUGUCUAAGAAAAGGCAGUGAUUUAUUUCCCAUUGAAUUCAUUUCACAACUUUAAUGUUCUUUAUCCCUCUUUCUCUCCUUAUGCGCAACAAUUAUUCAGCUGUGUUACUGUCCAUGUCUGAAAUGUAUCACAAACUGGACUUUAUUUAAAUAUUAUUUAGGUCCUAUGUUUAUCAAAUUCAUACAAGUGAAAACAGAAUCUCGCAAAGAAAUGGACAAAAAUCCUCUUCUUAGCUUUCAUGUGCUUUUGAGAUAUGUUGUGUUUCUUGCCAUACAAAAUGUGCACAAAACCUAUGCAAACUGGAUAAUAUAUUUGGCAUUUCACUGUUUAUAUGUACACAUGCAUAUCAUUUUCCAUGCCUUUGUUUUCCUUUUCAAUACAAGUUACACUAGAUUUUGUAUUACUUUUCCCUGGAACACUCUCUCACAGUAUGUUUUCGAAAACCUAAAAGACAAUUAUGGAUUUGAUCAACUGGUCCCUGAAUGCAAUUGACACGCCUUUCUCAACGAGAAG